rnacentral:rRNA from 1 species
GGCGGACGGGUGAGUAACACGUGGGCAACCUGCCCUGCAGAUCGGGAUAACUCCGGGAAACCGGUGCUAAUACCGAAUAGUUUGCAGCCUCUCCUGAGGCUGCACGGAAAGACGGUUUCGGCUGUCACUGCAGGAUGGGCCCGCGGCGCAUUAGCUAGUUGGUGGGGUAAUGGCCUACCAAGGCGACGAUGCGUAGCCGACCUGAGAGGGUGAUCGGCCACACUGGGACUGAGACACGGCCCAGACUCCUACGGGAGGCAGCAGUAGGGAAUCUUCCGCAAUGGACGAAAGUCUGACGGAGCAACGCCGCGUGAGUGACGAAGGUUUUCGGAUCGUAAAACUCUGUUGUGAGGGAAGAACACGUACCAGCUAACUACUGGUACCUUGACGGUACCUCACCAGAAAGCCACGGCUAACUACGUGCCAGCAGCCGCGGUAAUACGUAGGUGGCAAGCGUUGUCCGGAAUUAUUGGGCGUAAAGCGCGCGCA